AUUGAACGCUGGCGGCAGGCCUAACACAUGCAAGUCGAACGGUAGCACAGAGGAGCUUGCUCCUUGGGUGACGAGUGGCGGACGGGUGAGUAAUGUCUGGGAAACUGCCCGAUGGAGGGGGAUAACUACUGGAAACGGUAGCUAAUACCGCAUAACGUCUUCGGACCAAAGUGGGGGACCUUCGGGCCUCACACCAUCGGAUGUGCCCAGAUGGGAUUAGCUAGUAGGUGGGGUAAUGGCUCACCUAGGCGACGAUCCCUAGCUGGUCUGAGAGGCUGACCAGCCACACUGGAACUGAGACACGGUCCAGGCUACUACGGGAGGCAGCAGUGGGGAAUAUUGCACAAUGGGCGCAAGCCUGAUGCAGCCAUGCCGCGUGUAUGAAGAAGGCCUUCGGGUUGUAAAGUACUUUCAGCGGGGAGGAAGGCGUUAAGGUUAAUAACCUUGGCGAUUGACGUUACCCGCAGAAGAAGCACCGGCUAACUCCGUGCCAGCAGCCGCCGCAG
rnacentral:rRNA from 1 species